rnacentral:rRNA from 1 species
GCAAGUUGUUAAGUGCGAUCGGUGGAUGCCUUGGCACCAAGAGCCGAUGAAGGACGUUGUAACCUGCGAUAAGCCCUGGGGAGUUGGUAAACGAGCUGUGAUCCGGGGGUGUCCGAAUGGGGAAACCUGGAAUGUCCGGAGUAGUGUCCGGUGACCCUGCCCUGAAUGUAUAGGGGUGUGGGAGGUAACGCGGGGAAGUGAAACAUCUUAGUACCCGUAGGAAGAGAAAACAACCGUGAUUCCGUGAGUAGUGGCGAGCGAAAGUGGAUGAGGCUAAACCGUGUGUGUGUUCAAGCCGGCAGGUGUUGCAUGUGCGGGGUUGUGGGGGCCUUUGGGUUCUGCUGCCGCAGGAUUGGCCAGUGAUAAAUGUUGCGUGAAGGUGAAGCGUCUGGGAAGGCGUACCGGAGUGGGUGAGAGUCCCGUAACUGUAAGCGUGGCACUGGUGAGGGUUACCCCAAGUAGCGUGGAACUCGUGGAAUUUCGCGUGAAUCUGGCGGGACCACCCGUCAAGCCUAAAUACUCCUUGGUGACCGAUAGUGGAUCAGUACCGUGAGGGAAUGGUGAAAAGUACCCCGGGAGGGGAGUGAAAUAGUACCUGAAACCGGUCGCAUACAAGCCGUCAGAGCCUUGUGGGGUGAUGGCGUGCCUUUUGAAGAAUGAGCCUGCGAGUUAGUGAUGCGUGGCGAGGUUAACCUGUGUGGGGGAGUCGUAGCGAAAGCGAGUCCGAUAAGGGCGUGAGUCGCGUGUUCUAGACCCGAAGCGGUGUGAUCUAUCCAUGGCCAGGAUGAAGCGUCGGUAAGACGUCGUGGAGGUCCGAACCCACUUCAGUUGAAAAUGGAGGGGAUGAGCUGUGGAUAGGGGUGAAAGGCCAAUCAAACACCGUGAUAGCUGGUUCUCCCCGAAAUGCAUUUAGGUGCAGCGUUGCGUGGUUCUUGUCGGAGGUAGAGCACUGGAUGGUCUAGGGGGCCUAUCAGCUUACCGAAAUCAGCCAAACUCCGAAUGCCGGCAAGUGGAGCGUAGCAGUGAGACGGCGGGGGAUAAGCUUCGUCGUCGAGAGGGAAACAGCCCAGAUCAUCAGCUAAGGCCCCUAAGUGGUAGCUCAGUGGAAAAGGAUGUGGAGUUGCGCAGACAGCCAGGAGGUUGGCUUGGAAGCAGCCAUCCUUGAAAGAGUGCGUAAUAGCUCACUGGUCAAGUGAUUCCGCGCCGACAAUGUAGCGGGGCUUAAGUUAUCCGCCGAAGCUGUGGCAGAUCCCCUUGUGUGGGGGUUUGGGUAGGGGAGCGUCCUGUACGAGGUGAAGCUGCCGGGUGACCGUGUGGUGGAUUGUGCGGGAGUGAGAAUGCAGGCAUGAGUAGCGAAUGACGGGUGAAAAACCCGUCCGCCGAUUAUCCAAGGGUUCCAGGGUCAAGUUAAUCUGCCCUGGGUGAGUCGGGGCCUAAGGCGAGGCCGACAGGCGUAGUCGAUGGAUAACCAGUUGAUAUUCUGGUACCGGCUUGUCACCGUCCGUGUCGAGGUGUGUGAUGCUAAGCGUGCGAGCCUGCCAUUGUGAUGUCUUUGAUGUUGUGGUGGUGUGGUGAGUGUGUGAACCGAUCAUGUAGUAGGCAAGCUGCGGAGGGACGCAGGGAGGUAGCUCAUCCCCGGCGAUGGUUGUCCGGGGCUAAAUGUGUGGACCGUCUGGUAGGUAAAUCCGCCAGGGUUGUGGUUGAGGCAUGAUGGCGAGCCCACGGAAAGUGGGUGAGUGAGUGAUCCUGUACUGUCGAGAAAAUCUUCGUGAGCGAGGUGGCUGGUCCGCCCGUACCCUAAACCGACACUGGUGGAUAGGUAGAGUAUACCGAGGCGAUCGAGAUCAUCAUGGUGAAGGAACUCGGCAAAAUGCCCCCGUAACUUCGGGAUAAGGGGGACCUGAACUGUUAAGGCCUGUACGGCUGGUAGCGGUGAGGGGCGCAGAGACCAGGGGGAAACGACUGUUUACCAAAAACACAGGUCCGUGCGAAGUCGUAAGACGAUGUAUACGGACUGACUCCUGCCCGGUGCUGGAAGGUUAAGGGGAACUGUUAGCGUUGGCGAAGCGGUGAACUUAAGCCCCAGUAAACGGCGGUGGUAACUAUAACCAUCCUAAGGUAGCGAAAUUCCUUGUCGGGUAAGUUCCGACCUGCACGAAUGG